UACAUACUCCCUCCGUUCGGAAUUACUUGUCCAAGAAAUGAAUGUAUCUAGAUGUAUUUUAGUUGUAGAUACAUCCAUUUUUGUGACAAGUAAUUCCGAACGGAGGGAGUACUGC
rnacentral:pre_miRNA from 1 species